GAUCGAGAUUGCAGUGCCUGCUAAGCCACACUCAGCUUCUUCAAAUCGCUUCAGAAACAUUAACUCGGCCUCACACAGCCCUUGGGAGCAGGGGCAUCGUUUCCUGCAAGGCAUGGGGAGCAGCUGCCCCCCCUCCCCGAUGUUUCAUAGUCAGAAACCCAGCAAGAAUUCCAGCUCCAGGACUCUGAAGACUUGAACAUUCUGCGUCUUAACUGCAGUUUAAAGGACUUCAUUUGAAAAGGAGCAUGGAGACGAUGACUUCCUUUUUUUUAGCUAGUUCUGACAAGACUGAACUGAGCCACCUAGGGAAAGUAAAUCCUCCCAGAUGUGUUAACCAUGACAGAUUCAACCAUGGCGUCAUUCUGAGCUCUAAGGGGCGCUCUUGUCCUGCAUUAUUUCCAUGAUUGGGAUGCAAACGUGAACGAUCGAAAUUUUUCACAGAACAGAAGGCUCCAAGAAGUCGGCUUGGAAAUGUCAAAACGUUUUGCUUCCGCUUUCCCAGGUCAAUACACAAUGUGGAGACAUUCCCAGGUUUGUCUCCAGCUGAUGCGAGUGCCUCAUGGGAGUUGGAAGUCAGGUGGCUCUGGCCUCCAUUCUUCCUCGUCGGCCCGGCUUCCCAGCCGGACCCCAUUCCUCCCGGUGCACCACGGUCACGGGACGCCCACGCGCGCACUGCAGCAAAGGUGAGACCCGGGUGCAUCGUGGGAAAUGUAGUCCAGCCUACCGCUUCCACAUGGCAGCUCAGGCAGGUGCCGUUCAAACACUUUUUGAACAACCCAAAGUAUUUUGCUUUGGAUCCACCUGACUGGCUCGGACUGAAGGCUUGCGCGGCUGUUACACAUACGUACGCAGACUUGUAGUGAAGCCCAUUACCAAGUGUCACCUUUCCUGGUGAGCUGCUGUUUCUGAACCUCGCCUCAAAACCUCUGCUCACCCUUGUGCCCACACAGGCAACCACAAAUGGUUCCUCCUUCUUCACACUCUUCCUCUGAGCCGAAGCAGCAUAACCACUGUGCUCCCCCACCACCCAAAUCCCAGGUGAGCUGCCUGCAGAGCCGUAGCUGCUCCCUUCGUUGCUGCUGCAGCUGCCAGCCCAUGGACCCUUUGGAAAAGCUAUGUUUUAAUGCAGCCACUUUCUUAGCCAAGAGAAGGAGCAUGGCCUAGUGGUUAGAGCAGAAAGCUUGGUGUCAGAACUCCUGGGUUCUCUUCCUGCCUUUGCCGCUGACAAGCUGUGUGAACUUGGGAAAGUCCAUUCCCUGACCUCUGCCUCAGUUUCCCCAUUUGCGAUAGAGACAAUGCUAUUAAACUCUCUCACAGGGGCUGCUCGUUAAUGGUCUAGUGGUCAGGGUGUUAGUCUGGAAGUAGGCGUUAGAAGACUUAGAUUCGAUUUGUGGCUGUGCCACAGACUUCUUGAGUGAUUUCUGGGCAAGACCCUUCGCCCCUCUGUGGCUCAGUUCUUCCUCUGUGCACUGCACAACCACGCAGGGGGGUUGUGAGGAUAAACACUAUGAAGAUAGGGAGGUGCUCAGAUAGUAUGGGAGUGGGGGCCAUGCAUGUACCUGUGACAGGGUAGUUGAACCUUCAGGCCAAAAUCCAGGUAAGAAUCUGAGGAGGUGGGUGUGCAAUUUCAGUGGGCCUAGAAACAGGGGGUGGAGGGCUGGAGACAUGCCCCCAUUGCUACCAAGCGAGAUAGAUGCAGUAGCAGCUCACCACAUCUGGAAAUGCAGGCCCCAUCCUACUGGAAUGCCCAAGGUGUGGGGUCACCUGACCGGCUUGCACCUGCUAUGUAAGCCCGGAGCUGGGUAAGUUGCCCGAGUCAUUGUGCAGACUCUCUGCUGCUGCUUCUGCACUCUCACCUAUCUCCUGCAAUCUGCAUGCAGCCCCUGUUCCCCAUCCCUGCUCUGUUCCCAUCCUGUUCUUUGUUCUUGCCUUGCUCCUGCCUUUGGCCUCAGCUCCUGGCCUGAUCCCUGCCCUGUCUCGAGCCCCUGUCUCUAUGUUCCACUCCUGACCAUUGGGUACCCAAUUCCAGCUCUGACCCUCAGUUUGAUUCCUGGUUCCCAGCUCCAACCAUUAGCAUGACUCCCAAUUCCUGACCCCAGCUCUGACCCCUGGCUUUGGUUCCUGAUUCCUGCCAUCUAUGCCCUGCUUCCUAACAAGAAGUCCUGGGAGAGCAGGAAGGCAGACCCCCCAGAGAGAAGGGGCUGUGACCAACUUAGAACUAGAGCAGAAGAGAGUUGAAUAUUGGGACUGGGUUGAGUUUUUCUUCAGGAGCCCUGUGACAAAAGGAAACUGAGGCAUGGUGCUGCAGUGCCACCCCAGGACACAAGCAGGUGCUCAGGAGGCAAUGAACCAGUUACAGUACCAUAGGUGGAUCCUCAGAGGGAAGGUACCAAUGCAAUACAAAGUAUUGAUUGAGUUGGGGUUGGUCCUGCUUUGAGCAGGGGGUUGGACUAAAUGGCCUCCUGAGGUCCCUUCCAACCCUGAUAUUCUGUGAUUCUAUUGUCCCUGAGUAGGGAGUCGGAUGUACACUCAGCGUUCAUGACCUUCACCAGGGAGUCUCAGGCCCUGAGUUACCCCAAGGGGAGUGAGAGGCGAAUCUGUUCCUACGUAUUUUGGUCUGAGGCACUCCCAGUGCGACGCAACGUGGGGUUUGUGAGCAUGGUGUGAUUGGAAAGUCCAAUAUCUUCCACGGGCACGUCAGAUGCCCUGCAGGUGGCUCUGGCCCAGCACGCAGAAGGGUUUCCACACUAGCAGAUAGUUUCACCCAAUAGCAUUAGUGAGAUCAAUAGCACAGGCCCUGCUUCCCCGCUCCUCCCAUCCCCUCCAGCAGCCUAGGAGUCAUUCCCACUGACUUCAGCAGGAGUCACUCAUGCCCUGCCUGGAGGAAUCGGACAGCAACCGUCUCAACAGCAUUUCUUGGGAUGGCCACCAACAGCCAUUAGGCCAAAUGGACCCUAUCCACAGCUCCUCCAGUUUAAUCUGUCCUGUAGUCAAGGCUAGGGAGCACUCAGUGAUCAAAGGCAACAUGCACAAAUGAAAGACAAUCCUAUGGAAUUCAGUGCCACAGUAUAAUAAGGAAGCAAUUAGCUCAGCAAAGUUCAGAGGAGGGUUGACACCUUGAUGAACUGGGGUAGCAUCCUACAGUUGGAGGCCAGGAUAAUAAGUCCAAGGGACCUCAACAUUCAGGCCUCAGGUCUAGCUGGGAUGAGAGAGAACUUUCCUCCAAGUGCUGCAGAAUUGCAUGGUUAGGCCGGUGGAUUAGGUAGGGCUUUUCCCUGGGCGAAUAAAUCUUCUAGGCUCUUCCUGUUACCCAUAGCCCACCUGGCCAGGGCAAGCUCUAUUGAGCUGGUGUCACAAGUCGAUGCCAAUGCUGUCAGCCCCGUCACUUUGGGUUCAUGAUCUGCCAAGCCUUGGAGCUAAACCCAGACCAAAACCUCAUAGGAUUCCUUAACAAAAAGCACUGGUUCAAUCAAGAACAAGAGUUGCACCGGUGUAUCACCCUUUCCUCUGUUCCCAUCUUCUGCCUCUGUUCACCGGUGCAUUGCAGCCACUGGGCUGUAUUAAUUAGGCCCUGCUCAAUAGGCUCAUCCAUACCCAUAAUUAACAUUUUAGUUGCUGGAUUAAGACAUCACACUGUGCAAAAGUCUCAGGGGUGAAAUGGUUUCUCUGCAGCAUUGGCACUGUGAGCCGAAGGGGAUGCUCAUCAGCAAAGAGCCUGUGGUUUCCUGGUGCUGUAGCAGGCUGCUGCCGCUCUCAAGCAGAGUGUACUGAGGAUUUUUCAUUGGACGAUUCAGCUGCCCACAAGAGACCAGAGGAGGCCCCUCUGCCAAUUUCCAUCAGAGAGGAUUUUGUGGGCACACUGAGCUCAUGAACUCAGCUGCCCCAGCAGGCUCGCCUACCACAGGUAGAGGAAAUGAAACAGACUGACAGGUUGGGCUGUGAGUCACACUUCAACACAACCUUAAAGAUAAAGCCCCCUUCCAUUCCCUGCCAUGCACCUCUGUUGCUGCCUCCGGCUUAGUGGGGCCGCUGGGAGAACCUGGUACAUGCUUUCUGCUGAGCAUGAGCUGGAAUGUCAUCACUAUGCAGUAUUUAUAUUACAGUAGCGCCUAGAGGCCUCACGUGAGAUUGGGGACUUGCAGGGCUAGGCGCAGUACAGACGCAGAGCCAGCUUGCAUGGGGCUUUGACCCCCAAGACCUCCUGUCCCGACUGAAGUGAACGUUUCCCACGUUAAGGGCUGCACUCGGGGGGGGCGGGGAGAGACAGAGUGUUAUCCCUGGACCCCCCACUUGCAAGGGCCCCAAUCCAAGUGCUGUUGCAUCCUGGCACACGGGGUCACAGCACCACUCAGGUUUGGCCUGUCCGCCCCUCCAUCUUUAUCUCUGCAUCCUGCUUUAGCCGCUGGAAGUGGUGGGAGGUUUUGCAGACACAGGGUGAGAGAAGGAGCUCACAGUCUAAUGGGAAAACCUGAGAGGCUGACGUAUUGGGCACGUAGGGGUAGAUUUUUUUUUUAAAGGCACAAAUGGCCCUUCCAUUGACAUGGGAAUUAGGCACCUAACAGCCUAAGCUCCACUGGUACUUUUGAAACUCUCCCCCUUAGAUCCAAAGGAUGAAGACGUAGCAUCUGCCCAGAGACAUGUGAGCAGAGUGGCAUUUGCACAUGCAUUUGCUGCCGUUUGCCCACACCCUUGCAGUGAAAGGGGAUGUAAAAGGAGGUGCACAUUUCAUGCACAAGUCACUGCCUGCUGAAAACGGGGCCUUUCAGGACUAGUGCACUGAGAACUGUCAAGGAAUCUGGGUUUGGGGUUAUCUCAACCCCGUUUUGAUCAGGGGUCCAACCAUCAAAAUCUGCAGCGUUUCUUAUUAGGUCCCAAUCAAGUUCAUACUCCUAUCACACAGACUGACAGUGCCCCAAAGAGCUUGCCAUCUGAAUCGACAAGAGAAAGCAAGGGUGAGAGGGGACGCAAUGCACAAAGAAGUGAAGUGAUUACACAAGGCCGUGCUGCAAGUCACUGGAAGACACGGAAAUAAAGCCCAGGUCUCUCAAAUCACAGCACUGUGCUCUAGCCACUAGGCCAUAUUGUCUCUUUUUACCAAGGUGGAUUUUAUUCCUAUCUAUUGCAUAGACUCGCCAAUAGAUUACAUGAAGUUGUCUGUAUGUAAAAUAACCAGUGUUGCACUGGUGUUAAAGACGUGUUAAUUUGAUACAGAUUUGACAAAAGUGAUUUUUAAAAUGUGAAAAAUGAUUCAGUUAAAGGGUCCAAUGGGAUUGAUAGAGAAGUAUGUUCAGACACAAGAUUCAUUUAUAUACUUGGUGCUUUAAAAGGGCCUAUUUCAUAAAGCUGAAAACAAUUGAGUCAAAUCAGCUGGGAGGAAGAAUUUAAUCAGAAAAUGUGAAUAAUUGGGAAUCAUUUAAGAAUACCUUACUAGGCGCCCAAAAGUUCACAAUCGAGGAUCAAGUCUGUACUGGUUAAAAAAACAACCUGGUUUAGAAGGGAAGUGAAGGAUAUAUAAAAUAUUUUUUUAAAUGACAGGAAGGGGAAAUUGAUCAUCUUGGAUAUAAAUGAGAAGAUAGGAUUUGUAGAAAACUGAAAAGGGAAGCAAAGGGAUAUAAGGAAAAAUCUAUGGACUGCAGAGUUAAGGACAAUAAGAAGGAGUUUUUUAAAUAUAUUGGGAACAAAAAGUAUCUUAGCAGUGCUAUUGAUCCAUUACUAGAUGGAAAUGGUAGAAUUAUCAAUAAUAAUGCAGAAAAGGCAGAAGUGUUAGUAAAUAUUUCUGUUUGGCAUUUAGGAAAAAACAGAUAUCAUCAUAUGAUAACACUC